GGAUAGAGCAUCUGACUACGGAUCAGAAGGUUGGGGAUUCAAGUUCCUCCGAGCGCA
rnacentral:tRNA from 1 species